ensembl:snRNA
AAAAAGGGCUUCUGCCGUGCGUGGCACGGGGGGGUCACACGGCCGCCCCCGCGGAAUCGACAUCAAGAGAUUUCGGAAGCACAAUUUUUGCGGCAGGGGCAGCUGGUAACCGCUUGUUCUGGCGCCCCA